ensembl:lncRNA
AUGGAGAGGCCUCAGGGAGCUGCAGGGGGACAGAGAUGUGGGUCACCGGGACUUUUACUUUGGAAGUAUCAGGCCUCAUUUCCUGAAGGCUGCUGGCUUUCCAGACAGAGCGGCCUGUUUCCAGAUGGCACCAAGUGGUCUCAAGUCCAGCAGCUGGUCCAGGAGGAUCCGUCUGACCCACUCUGCAUCCGGAAACACACAGACAGCCUCAGUCCAACACCUCACACACACACACAGACACACACAGACAACCUCAGUCCAACACACACAGACACACAGACACACACAGACAACCUCAGUCCAACACACACAGACACACAGACACACACAGACAACCUCAGUCCAACACACACACACACACAGACACACACAAACACACAGAGACACAGACACACACAAACACACAGACAGCCUCAGUCCAACACACACAGACACACACACACACACACAAACACACAGACAACCUCAGUCCAACACACACAGACACACACACAGAGACACAAACACACAGACACACACAGAGACACACAGACACACACAGACAACCUCAGUCCAACACACACAGACACACACAGACACACACAGACAACCUCAGUCCAACACCUCACACAGACACACACACACAGACACACACAGACACACAGACAGACAGACACACACAGACAACCUCAGUCCAACACCUCACACAGACACACACACACAGACACACACAGACACACAGACACACACAGACAACCUCAGUCCAACACCUCACACAGACACACACACACAGACACACACAGACACACAGACAGACAGACACACACAGACAACCUCAGUCCAACACCUCACACAGACACACAGACACACACAGAGACACAGACACACACAGACAACCUCAGUCCAACACACACAGACACACACAGAGACACAAACACACACAGACACACAGACAACCUCAGUCCAACACACACAGACACACACAGACACACACAGACAACCUCAGUCCAACACCUCACACACACACACAGACACACACAAACACACAGACAACCUCAGUCCAACACCUCACACACACAGAGACACAAACACACACAGACACACACAGACACACAGACACACACAGUGACACACAGACACACAGACAACCUCAGUCCAACACCUCACACAGACACACACACACAGUGACACACAGACUCACACAGAGACACACAGACACACACAGACACACACAAACACACAGACACACACAGACACACACAGUGACACACAGACUCACACAGACACACACAGUGACACACACAGAGACACAAACACACACAGACUCACACAGACACACACAAACACACAGACACACACACAGACACACAGACACACAGACACACACAGUGACACACAGACACACACAAACACACAGACACACACAGACACACACAGAGACACAAACACACACAGACACACACAGACACACACAGACACACACAAACACACAGACACACACAGACACACACAGAGACACAAACACACACAGACACACAGACACACACAGACACACACAGACACACAGACACACACAGUGACACACAGACACACACAGAGACACAAACACACACAGACACACAGACACACACAGACACACACAGACACACAGACACACACAGACACACACAAACACACAGACACACACAGACACACACAGAGACACAAACACACACAGACACACACAGACACACAGACACACACAGACACACACAGUGACACACAGACACAGACACACACAGACUCACACAGACACACACAGACACACACAGUGACACACACAGACACACACAGACACACACAGACACACACAGACACACAGACACAUACAGACACACACAAACACACAGACACACACAGACUCACACAGACACACACAAACACACAGACACACACAGACACACACAAACACACAGACACACACAGACUCACACAGACACACACAAACACACAGACACACACAAACACACACAGACACACAGACGCACAGACGCACACAAACACACACAAACACACAGACACACACAGACACACAGACACACACAAACACACACAGACGCACACAGACACACACAGACACACACAGACGCACACAAACACACAGACACACACAGACGCACACAGACUCACACAGACACACACAAACACACAGACACACACAGACACACACAGACACACACAGAGACACAAACACACACAGACACACACAGACGCACACAGACUCACACAGACACACACAAACACACAGACGCACACAGACACACACAAACACACAGACACACAGACACACAGACACACACAGACACACACAGACGCACACAGACACACACAAACACACAGACGCACACAGACGCACACAAACACACACAAACACACAGACGCACACAGACACACACAAACACACACAGACACACACAGACGCACACAGACACACACAGACACACACAAACACACACAAACACACAGACGCACACAGACGCACACAGACACACAGACGCACACAGACACACAGACGCACACAGACACACACAGACGCACACAAACACACAGACGCACACAGACGCACACAGACACACACAGGCACACACAAACACACAGACGCACACAGACACACACAAACGCACACAGACACACACAAACACAAACACACACAGACACACAGACACGCACACAGACGCACACAGACACGCACAGACGCACACAGACGCACACAGACACACACAGACACACACAGACACACACAGACACACAGACACAAACACACACACACAAACACACACAGACACGCACAGACGCACACAGACACACAGACACAAACACACACAGACGCACACAGACACACAGAGCAGUUGGUAGUUUCUUACAUCGGCCUUUAGACGUUCUCUGGAAGCGGUUUUGUCUUCUUGUUGGACCUUCAUCUGUGAUGAGGUUGAUCCACGCCGACAGACAGCCAAUGGGCUCAUUUCUUCUCUGCUCCUCCGGCAGAGCAGAACAUUUCACAGAACCGUAUCAGCAGUUUCCCAUGAUGCCCCACUGCUCGCACUGGUCAGGUCACUGGGAGCCAACGUGAGGGCCGCAGUCUGAGGAUGGUUCCCACCCUCUAAGGCCUCCAUCUGUCACUAUAAUUAACAGUCAAAGGGAUUUUUAACUGUGUGGUUCUGGACCACUUCAGGGGUCGGACAUGGAAAAUGUCUGGACCUCAGGAGGGUCACCCUGAACCCCACCCUGAAAACAUGCCAGUAAACUUUGAAGAAACCCAGCAGACAGUUAUAUAAGACCGUUUACUCCGAAUCUGCAGUGAGUGAGCACAGAACCUUCAUGAUGUUCUCAGGUGGUCCAGUCUAGAGAACUCCAACAAAAACCAAGAAAGUUACUGUUUUAAUUUCAUAUGAUGAACUACUUUCCCGAAAACAGGAGCGAACUUCAUACAUGUGGAAUUAGGACAUGAGCAUGAAUUCCUCCAGCACAUAACGAACACACAACACGCUCUGAUAAUGUAGGACACAUCCCAGCAGUCAGGCUCACUGAGCCAUAAACCCGUUUCUACUCCAGAGGCCUCAGAAAAACCUGGUUUCAGGACUAAAGAGCUGGUUCCCCUCAGCCCCACCCGGAUCGGUUUGUCAGACUUCAUGCCUGCUGAGUUUGAAUUCCCUCGAAGAUACCAAGGUCAAGACUGGAGAGGAUUUUGUUUGUUUGUAAUUUGUCUGACCAUAAACUCAAUAAAUACUUCUUUCUAACUGAAUUUCUAUGUCUGAAGACUUAUUCUGUAUUUAAAUAUAAUUUAGGGUUCAUUAAAUUCGGUGUAAAAUGGUGGGCCUCUGUGGUCCCUUUGUCUAAAACACCACUCUGUCCUUGAUGUCACUGCGGUGCAAUGACAAAUUAGAAUUGGAAAUUUUGUGUAACUAAGGUUAUUUGCUCAUAUUUGCCUCCACACUGGAGCUUCUGUUCUCCAAAGGCUCGGCACAAAGACGGACUCAGGGUCAUAUCAGC